rnacentral:rRNA from 1 species
AGCAGCCGCGGUAAUUCCAGCUCCAAUAGCGUAUAUUAAAGUUGUUGCAGUUAAAAAGCUCGUAGUUGAAUUUCGGGGUUAGUAGGUUGGUCGUGCCACUGGUACGUACUGGUCUCACUGAUUCCUCCUUCCUGAUGAACUGUAAUGCCAUUAAUUUGGUGUUGCAGGGAAACUGGACUGUUACUUUGAAAAAAGUUAGAGUGUUUAAAGCAAGCUAACGCUUGAAUACAUUAGCAUGGAAUAAUGAAAUUAGGACGUUCGAUCCUAUUUUGUUGGUUUCUAGGAUUGACGUAAUGAUUAAUAGGGAUAGUUGGGGGCAUUAGUAUUCAAUUGUCAGAGGUGAAAUUCUUGGAUUUAUUGAAGACUAACUACUGCGAAAGCAUUUUGCCAAGGAUGUUUUCAUUAAUCAAGAACGAAAGUUAGGGGAUCGAAGACGAUCAGAUACCGUCGUAGUCUUAACCAUAAACUAUGCCGACUAGGGAUCGGAUGGAUGUUAAUUUUUUUCAAUGAC